rnacentral:rRNA from 1 species
AGAUGAGCCCGCGUACCAUUAGCUUGUUGGUAGGGUAACGGCCUACCAAGGCUGCGAUGGUUAGCUGGUCUGAGAGGAUGAUCAGCCACACUGGAACUGACACACGGUCCAGACUCCUACGGGAGGCAGCAGUGAGGAAUUUUGCGCAAUGGGGGAAACCCUGACGCAGCAACGCCGCGUGAGUGAUGAAGGCCUUCGGGUCGUAAAGCUCUGUCAAGUGGGAAGAAUCUGCCCGGUGAUAAUACCGCUGGGCAAUGACGGUACCGCUGAAGGAAGCACCGGCUAACUCCGUGCCAGCAGCCGCGGUAAUACGGGGGGUGCUAGCGUUAUUCGGAAUCAUUGGGCGUAAAGGGCGCGUAGGCGGUCUUUUAAGUCAGAUGUGAAAGCCCUCGGCUUAACCGAGGAAGUGCAUUUGAUACUAAGAGACUUGAGUAUGGGAGAGGGAAGCGGAAUUCCUGGUGUAGCGGUGAAAUGCGUAGAUAUCAGGAGGAACACCGGUGGCGAAGGCGGCUUCCUGGACCAAUACUGACGCUGAGGCGCGAAGGCGUGGGGAGCGAACGGGAUUAGAUACCCUGGUAGUCCACGCGGUAAAC